UUAAUUUCAGCCGAUGACGUCAUUCCAGACCGCCGCUUCAAAAUGUGCUACGUUUUUCUUUCUUUGCUGGUGCUGAGCUGGAUCCGAAGCAAACCGCAGUGGACUACUUUUUCAACACGCAGUGACCAUUUCGAAGAAGAAUGUUUUGAACAUGACAUGAGAGUGAGGAUUUUCGGUCACAGCAGUGUCAGAAAUUGGUGGGAGGACUGUGGAUGAGGCCACGAGAUGUAUGAUGUUCUUCAUCAUGGACUAUGGCCUGUCAAGGCAGUACAACUUUGUGGGCUGGAAUGGAAAGUAGGAAUUCAGGACUUUAAAUCUGUUUGAAGUCAUAUUUGAUUUUGGACCAUUUCUCUCCUUUCUCUUUCAUACUUCCUACAGUAUACCAUAACGUGUUCAACUGUCUCUUGUUGCUCACAAUAUUCACAUCUGCCAUUGUUAUGUUUACCUAUUUAGAAUAAUGUAUUAUUUAAUCCUGUGUGCCAAAAUCUAAGUCCUGAUAUAAUUGUUUCUUCUCCUAAGUUCUUCCUUGCCCAUCUCAUUUUUCCCACUCUCCUCUGGAUCAUGUAAAACCAUCUUCUGUUUCUCUUCCUCCCAUUGCUUUUGCCACCUUUCCUUCAUAUUCUGAUUAAUAAUGCUCUUUAUUUCCAUCUUACUAAUUUUAACUGACACAUCAAUGUCUUUUCUUGUUGUGGCAUCUUUUGCAGCCUUAUCUGCCAUUUCAUUUCCUUUAAUUCCCAUGUGUGCUGGUACCCACAAAAAUAUGACUGUAAUGUCCAUCAUUUGAAUUCUGUAUAAUGUUUGCUGGAUUUCUAUCAAAAUAUCUGGUCUACUGUCUGAGUGUUUUAUCGGUAAACUGAUUAGUGAUGAAGAUGAAUCUGAACAAAUAAUCACUCUCAGAGGUCUUAUUUCUUCUACCCAUUGCAUUGCAAACAAAAUUGCUAACAUUUCUCUUGUGUAUACUGAUAUAUUAUUACUUGUCCUCUUUCCUACUGUAAUAUGAAACUCUGGAACAAUAAAAGAUACUCCUAUCUUGUUAUCUAAA